rnacentral:rRNA from 1 species
GGUCAGGAUGAACGCUGGCGGCGUGCCUAACACAUGCAAGUCGAGCGAAGCACUUUGCUUAGAUUCUUCGGAUGAAGAGGAUUGUGACUGAGCGGCGGACGGGUGAGUAACGCGUGGGUAACCUGCCUCGUACAGGGGGAUAACAGUUAGAAAUGACUGCUAAUACCGCAUAAGACCACAGCACCGCAUGGUGCAGGGGUAAAAACUCCGGUGGUAUGAGAUGGACCCGCGUCUGAUUAGCUAGUUGGUAAGGUAACGGCUUACCAAGGCGACGAUCAGUAGCCGACCUGAGAGGGUGACCGGCCACAUUGGGACUGAGACACGGCCCAAACUCCUACGGGAGGCAGCAGUGGGGAAUAUUGCACAAUGGGGGAAACCCUGAUGCAGCGACGCCGCGUGAGCGAAGAAGUAUUUCGGUAUGUAAAGCUCUAUCAGCAGGGAAGAAAAUGACGGUAUCUGACUAAGAAGCACCGGCUAAAUACGUGCCAGCAGCCGCGGUAAUACGUAUGGUGCAAGCGUUAUCCGGAUUUACUGGGUGUAAAGGGAGCGUAGACGGAUGGGCAAGUCUGAUGUGAAAACCCGGGGCUCAACCCCGGGACUGCAUUGGAAACUGUUCAUCUAGAGUGCUGGAGAGGUAAGUGGAAUUCCUAGUGUAGCGGUGAAAUGCGUAGAUAUUAGGAGGAACACCAGUGGCGAAGGCGGCUUACUGGACAGUAACUGACGUUGAGGCUCGAAAGCGUGGGGAGCAAACAGGAUUAGAUACCCUGGUAGUCCACGCCGUAAACGAUGACUACUAGGUGUCGGGUGGCAAACCCAUUCGGUGCCGCAGCAAACGCAAUAAGUAGUCCACCUGGGGAGUACGUUCGCAAGAAGAAAACUCAAAGGAAUAGACGGGGACCCGCCCAACCGGUGGAGCAUGUGGUUUAAUUCGAAGCAACGCGAAGAACCUUACCUGCUCUUGACAUCCCGCUGACCGGACGGUAAUGCGUCCUUCCCUUCGGGGCAGCGGAGACAGGUGGUGCAUGGUUGUCGUCAGCUCGUGUCGUGAGAUGUUGGGUUAAGUCCCGCAACGAGCGCAACCCCUAUCUUUAGUAGCCAGCGGCCAGGCCGGGCACUCUAGAGAGACUGCCGGGGAUAACCCGGAGGAAGGUGGGGAUGACGUCAAAUCAUCAUGCCCCUUAUGAGCAGGGCUACACACGUGCUACAAUGGCGUAAACAAAGGGAAGCGAGACCGCGAGGUGGAGCAAAUCCCAAAAAUAACGUCUCAGUUCGGAUUGUAGUCUGCAACUCGACUACAUGAAGCUGGAAUCGCUAGUAAUCGCGAAUCAGAAUGUCGCGGCGAAU